CGCCUGGGGAGUACGGUCGCAAGAUUAAAACUCAAAUGAAUUGACGGGGGCCCGCACAAGCGGUGGAGCAUGUGGUUUAAUUCGAAGCAACGCGAAGAACCUUACCAGGUCUUGACAUCCCCUGACAACCCGAGAGAUCGGGCGUUCCCCCUUCGGGGGGACAGGGUGACAGGUGGUGCAUGGUUGUCGUCAGCUCGUGUCGUGAGAUGUUGGGUUAAGUCCCGUAACGAGCGCAACCCUUGUCCUUAUUUGCCAUCAUUAAGUUGGGCACUCUAGGGAGACUGCCUGGGCUAACCAGGAGGAAGGUG
rnacentral:rRNA from 1 species